UCCUUCUAAAUCUGUGUCCAAUUUGAUUUUUUUCAGCAGACAGAGUGGGCAUGUCCCUCAUGCACUUUCAUCAACAAGCCGUCUCGUCCAGGCUGCGAAAUCUGUGCCACAGCCAGACCUGACACACACAUCCAGCAGGAGAAAGGCAGGAGAGAGGACAGAGGAGAGCCUGGUUUAAGCAGCAGCUGACUGCCCAGCACUGCGCUCUGGUUGACAAUUCUCACUCAGACACCCAUACACACACAUGCACACAGAGUGAGGAUGUUAAAUCUGCCACUUACAUGUUGACAAAAUACUCAAAGACUGUCAAGUGCACUGAGAGUCCUCUGACAGCUGGCUGGCCUCUGGAGACUGGAGCGUUUGAAGCACUGUAGCAUGACAGAGGCUCAGACGAUGAACUUGCAGACAGAGCAUGUUAGCUUUGACUGUUGAUGUGGACAUGACCAUGACAUCUUAAUUUGGCCAGACCUCUUUCUUAUUUAUAUUGUUGUCUGUGUGUGUGUGUGUGUGGCGCCAACACAGACAGUCUAAUAUUUAUUUCAGGGGAGAGAGAGCUAUGAUGCAAGUUGUCUGUGUUUGAUUGCAACUGAAGUGGGAGGAAAGGUGAAGCCCUGUGCAACACCGUUCUGUUUCAGUGUUGGUGCAAAAAUAUUUGGAAGUUUAACAAAAGAGCUCUGGCUGAAAAGAGAACGAAUGUCGCAUUUACAGAGAUGUUAAGUGCUUUUAUUUUUUUCAUAACAUAUUUUGUUAUUUUUAACAAGAUUAUUGAGUAAUGUACAUCUAACCAGUCAAUCCUGAGCUGCGACAGCAGUGGAUUGAUUAGUUUUCAGUACAUAAUAUUGUAAAAACUUGCAUUAGCCAAAUAAACAUGAAACUAAACUGUC